UACGUAGGGUGCAAGCGUUGUCCGGAAUUAUUGGGCGUAAAGCGCUUGUAGGCGGCUUGUUAAGUCGCGUGUGAAAUCCCCAGGCUCAACCUGGGAAGUGCGCGCGAAACUGGCGAGCUUGAAUGCCGGAGAGGGUCGCGGAAUUCCCGGUGUAGAGGUGAAAUUCGUAGAUAUCGGGAGGAACACCAGUGGCGAAGGCGGCGACCUGGACGGACAUUGACGCUGAGACGCGAAAGCGUGGGGAGCAAACAGG
rnacentral:rRNA from 1 species